AGGUUCUCCUUCCGGCGUGCCGUAAACGUAACAACUCCUACGACGGAAGUGGCCCGCUGCGGACGGCAGGGCCGGUCAGGAACGUAAGGAGGGGAGGAGACUGCGCCGCCUGGGGAGAGGCCUGAGAAGAGGAGGAGAGGAGAUUGGGAAAAAGAACACCAGAACAUGGAUCUGCAGAUAAUAAAACACAUGAUAAUCAUGGCCUAGUUGACUUCAAUCAACUAUUGGAUAUGUGCAAAAAUGGAAAUGGUCAGCAAAGGAAUGCUGUCCUGAGUUUUUCACACAUCAGUAAUGUUUCCCACUGUGGCUUCUUCUUUACCAGUCCAGAUGGGGAAUCAUCAUUUGUGGACUUCAGAGGAAAAGGUAAUUAUAAAUUCAUUAGGCUUCCUGAAUAAAGAAGUGUAAUGUCUUCCAAGAAUAAUUAAACUACCGUGGGCAAAGAG